rnacentral:rRNA from 1 species
AUGGCAUGUUACUGGUGGAGUAGUUCCAUCGACCGGCGUUCACUACAUUGGAUCGAUUGGAAAUCACUUGCAUCCCCCAAAAUGCAUGGAGGAAUGGGCUUUCGGAACCUUGAAACCUUUAACUUGGCCAUGUUGGGUAAACACGACUGGAGGAUGAUCACAGGCCCGGAGUCUCUAUGUGCUCGAGUGUUAAAAGGACGAUACUUCCCAUCCUUGGACUUCUUGCAUGCUGCUAUUCCAAGAGGUUCUUCAUCAACCUGGCGGGCGAUUGUAGCAGGUCGGGAGAGUCUUUUAGGUGGGCUUGAUCCGCAGGACUGGCGAUGGCACGUAAGUAUCGAUAUGGUCGGACAGAUGGAUUUUAGGUAA